AGGAAGAUUAAAGUCGGAGCAGAGAUAACAAAAGGGUGAUGAAGGAGGAAGAUUUAAGGCUGCUCUUCUCUAUUUUAUUAUUAUAUGUUUUCUUUAUUAUUUUAUAUAUAAGAGCUAAGCAUACGCUUCCAGUCUCUUGCCUCUUCACAAAUCGUUGUGCUAUUCAAGUAUGGCAGAAGUUGAGAACAUUGAAUUUAAGUGGGGUAAAAAGAGAGGAAUUGGUGCGAGAAAUAGAGAUGUUCAGUUUUAUGAAUCAUUCACUUAUGAUGGCCUCUAUUACACUCUUUUUGACAAUGUUUAUCUUCACAAAGAAGGCCAAACUUUACCUUUUCUAGGGAAACUUAUAAAAAUAUGGGAAAAUCCCGAUAAAUCCAAGAAAGUGAAGAUUUUAUGGUUUUUCCAACCUAAUGAGAUAUCAAAAUAUCUUAAAGUUGAAUUGAAUCAUCCUAAUGAAGUGUUCUUGGCAUCUGGUGACGGAGUUGGCCUAUUUAACAUUAAUCCUUUGGAAGCAAUUGUAGGAAAAUGCAAUGUAGUUUGCAUUUCAAAGGAUAGCAGAAAUCCACAACCCUCAGAUCAAGAGCUCCAAAAGGCUGACUUUGUAUUUUGUCGUACGUUCAAUGUUAAGCGCUGCAUUAUUGUGGAUGAAAUGGAUGAAAAAAUUGCUGGAAUUGAUGUUAAAUUUAUUUUUAACCGAAUGGGUUCUCUAAAGCCCUCUUCUAGUCAUAACACUGAUGUGGAUGAUAAACAUACUAGUGAGACUGCAAUGACAGUAAAUAAAAAGGUGAUUUUGUCUAAUAAGUUGAACUCGUUUGAGACUCAAAAUUUUGAAGAUAGACAAGGGGAACAGAAACCCCUUGUUGAAGAAACCUUUGCUACUGAUGAUAGACAAGAGAAUGUCUUUAACUACAAAUCUGCUUCAAGCCUUAAAGCUGAAGAAAACAAAGAGUUGAAAGUUGAUGAGAAAUUAAAGUCCAUUGAGGAUUUGGGAGAGUUAGAUGAGAGGCCAUAUAAGAAAGCAAAGCUAGAUAGUUUUGGGAAAGUCUCUGAUUGCAAGAACAAGAUUGAUGUGCUUAUACCAAAUAUCAUUGCUUCUGAAGACGAACCCAGAUGUGCUACAAAUACUAAUGGGACAUCAAACUCUUCCACGAAGCUGAAGUUGGGGGAUGACGAACUCACAAAACCUACUUGCAAGUUGCCAAACGAGUCUUCUUCAUGGCCUUCAAAUGAUAUCAUCAAAACUGAUGACAAAGCAUUGGAAGUUAUUAGUAGACCUGAUUUUGAAAUUGGUGUUCUGGAGUUAUCUCCUUCUUUCCUUUCCUUUUGUUUAUCCCUUGCAACAUGGAGUUCUAAUGUGCAUUAAAGAUUGUGAGCUUGGUCCUAUAAUGUUGAAAAGGAUUGUUAGCUUUAGUUAUUGCAGCCUUGACACCAAUACAGUAGCAUCAGACCUUCAAUGCUUCUCGAAGUGAUUCAAUUCUUUCCCAGGAUGGCUUUAGCUUUCAAAGCAGCUAUUUCUUCAUGAUCAUCACCUGUUACCAAUGACAUGAUGUACAUACACAAUCAAUGUAGUAAGUCCAUUUUUCAAGGUUUUCUUUAUAAAUAGAAUGUGACCACCUUGACUUGGAAGGCAGCUUUAAUUUCUCAUAGCUACCGAAGUGAGAAUAUACAAUGCAAAUUUGCAAUAAAGAAAGGAUUGAACAAAUCAUGACACAAUCUAGGAAUUAAAUGUCAUCCUACUUUUAGAAUUCUAUCCUCUAGCUUCGAGGAUAGUCUAAUACGUGCCUUUAGUCACAUGUAGAAAUUGUUAUUUUGGGAGUUUUUUUUUUUAAAUAAUUUUAUUAUAAAUUUUAGUCAUAUCUAUUCUUUUUAAUAUAAUAUCUACAAUUA